AUUGAACGCUGGCGGCGGGCCUAACACAUGCAAGUCGAACGAGUGGCGGACGGGUGAGUAAUGUUUGGGAAACUGGCUUAUGGAGGGGGAUAACGACGGGAAACGGUCGCUAAUACCGCGUACCAUAGGAUUAGCCGUAGUGGGCUUAGGUAGGUGGUGGGGUAAUGGCCCACCAAGCCGACGAUCCCUAGCUGGUCUGAGAGGAGGACCAGCCACACCGGAACUGAGACACGGCCCGGACUCCUACGGGAGGCAGCAGUGGGGAAUAUUGCGCAAUGGGCGCAACCUGACACAGCCAGGCCGCGUGAAUGAAGAAGGCCUUCGGGUUGUAAAGUUCUUUCGGUGGCGAGGCGUUAAUCACAGAAGAAGCACCGGCUAACUCCGUGCCAGCAGCCGCGGUAAUAC
rnacentral:rRNA from 1 species